AUCCUUCUUCCUCUUCUAAUACACUCAGAGAGUAUACCUUUUUGUUGCGACAUCUAUGCCCUGGUACAAAUUUGUCGUCACACCAGAAGCACAGACCCUUCAACCUUCGGUCCUCAAACUCUUGGUUUUUGAUGAACUUGGUGGGUCUGCUGGGGUUUGAAUAGUUGCUAUGGUUGGAAUGAGCUGUCCAUGAGGCUGGUUGUGGUUUUGACACAUUAGUUUGAGAGUUCACAGGGUUCUUUGUGGUUUGUAUGGGCUGAUUAAGAGGAUUGCUCACAGUAG
rnacentral:lncRNA from 1 species